AACACUGUGGGCAACCUGCCUGUAAGACUGGGAUAACUUCGGGAAACCGAAGCUAAUACCGGAUAGGAUCUUCUCCUUCAUGGGAGAUGAUUGAAAGAUGGUUUCGGCUAUCACUUACAGAUGGGCCCGCGGUGCAUUAGCUAGUUGGUGAGGUAACGGCUCACCAAGGCAACGAUGCAUAGCCGACCUGAGAGGGUGAUCGGCCACACUGGGACUGAGACACGGCCCAGACUCCUACGGGAGGCAGCAGUAGGGAAUCUUCCGCAAUGGACGAAAGUCUGACGGAGCAACGCCGCGUGAGUGAUGAAGGCUUUCGGGUCGUAAAACUCUGUUGUUAGGGAAGAACAAGUACGAGAGUAACUGCUCGUACCUUGACGGUACCUAACCAGAAAGCCACGGCUAACUACGUGCCAGCAGCCGCGGUAAUACGUAGGUGGCAAGCGUUAUCCGGAAUUAUUGGGCGUAAAGCGCGCGCAGGCGGUUUCUUAAGUCUGAUGUGAAAGCCCACGGCUCAACCGUGGAGGGUCAUUGGAAACUGGGGAACUUGAGUGCAGAAGAGAAAAGCGGAAUUCCACGUGUAGCGGUGAAAUGCGUAGAGAUGUGGAGGAACACCAGUGGCGAAGGCGGCUUUUUGGUCUGUAACUGACGCUGAGGCGCGAAAGCGUG
rnacentral:rRNA from 2 species